CGGAAGGGCUCCUGCGCAGGCGUUUGUAGCCACUUUUAAGUUUUAUCAGCUAGUUCAUGCUUGCGUUGAAAGAGUGGUCGUUUGCGCUGGGUCAUCACUGUGUAGUAUUGGGGAUACUUAGCUUUUAGAAGUUGCCUGCAUUCCUUGGCCCCUUCCUCACAUCAUUCCAACCAACUUCCAUCCUUACAAUCGAUUACUUUCCUGUAAUAGCUACAGUCAAAUGGGCAGCUGAAGAUGAUGAUGAUGAUGAUCUUGACACCGAGAAGCAGAAGACCAAUGAAGAUGACCAGACAGCAAAAAAGGAUAAGUUAAAAGAAGGUAAAAGAAGGCCACUCGUACUUGCUGUCUCAGUAUCUAAAGGUGGUCACCUUCCAGUAGAGAGGCCCACCCACUGCAGACCGUGCCACCGAAGGUGACAUGCACUUUCUGCCACCCAUCCAAAACCGUAACGUGAAUCUGCAACAGGAGAGGAAAGAAGAACCAAAACUUCCAAGGCCUUGCAUUUUUUCUUAAAAGCAUUUUUUUUUUUUUUUGGAGAUGGAGUCUCACUCUAUUGCCUGGAGUGCAGUGGCGUAAUUUCGGCUCACUGAAGCCUCUGCUUCCCGGGUUUAAGAAAUUCUCUGCCUCAGCCUCCCAAGUAGCUGGGAUUACAGGCACAUGCCACCACACCUGUCUAAUUUUUGUAUUUUUAGGAGAGACAGGGUUUCACCGUGUUGGCCAGGCUGGUCUUGAACUCCUGAC
rnacentral:lncRNA from 1 species